UACGUAGGGGGCAAGCGUUGUCCGGAAUCAUUGGGCGUAAAGCGCGUGUAGGCGGCUCGGUAAGUCCGCUCUGAAAGUCCGGGGCUCAACCCCGGGAGGCGGGUGGAUACUGUCGAGCUCGAGUCCGGAAGAGGCGAGUGGAAUUCCUGGUGUAGCGGUGAAAUGCGUAGAUAUCAGGAGGAACACCUGCGGUGUAGACGGCUUUCUGGACCAUUGUUGACGCUGAGACACGAAAGCGUGGGUAGCAAACAGG
rnacentral:rRNA from 1 species